rnacentral:rRNA from 1 species
UUCCAGACUCCUACGGGAGGCAGCAGUGAGGAAUAUUGGUCAAUGGCCGGAAGGCUGAACCAGCCAAGUCGCGUGAGGGACGACUGCCCUAUGGGUUGUAAACCUCUUUUAUAAGGGAAGGAUAAAUGCUACGUGUAGCAUGAUGCCUGUACCUUAUGAAUAAGCAUCGGCUAACUACGUGCCAGCAGCCGCGGUAAUACGUAGGUGGCAAGCGUUGUCCGGAUUUAUUGGGUGUAAAGGGCGUGCAGCCGGAGAGACAAGUCAGAUGUGAAAUCCACGGGCUCAACCCGUGAACUGCAUUUGAAACUGUUUCCCUUGAGUGUCGGAGAGGUAAUCGGAAUUCCUUGUGUAGCGGUGAAAUGCGUAGAUAUAAGGAAGAACACCAGUGGCGAAGGCGGAUUACUGGACGAUAACUGACGGUGAGGCGCGAAAGCGUGGGGAGCAAACAGGAUUAGAUACCCCAGUACAC